rnacentral:rRNA from 1 species
AUUGAACGCUGGCGGCAUGCCUUACACAUGCAAGUCGAACGGUAACGCGGGGCAACCUGGCGACGAGUGGCGAACGGGUGAGUAAUGCAUCGGAACGUACCCAGUAGUGGGGGAUAGCCCGGCGAAAGCCGGAUUAAUACCGCAUACGACCUACGGGUGAAAGGGGGGAGUCGCAAGACCUCUCGCUAUUGGAGCGGCCGAUGUCAGAUUAGGUAGUUGGUGGGGUAAAAGCCUACCAAGCCUGUGAUCUGUAGCUGGUCUGAGAGGACGACCAGCCACACUGGGACUGAGACACGGCCCAGACUCCUACGGGAGGCAGCAGUGGGGAAUUUUGGACAAUGGGCGCAAGCCUGAUCCAGCAAUGCCGCGUGCGGGAAGAAGGCC